AGAAUGUUUCCAUAGGUACGAAGGUCUUGUCUCACUUUAGCCCAUCCAGAAUGUUUCCGUAGGUAAGAGGGUCUUGUCUCACUUUAGCCCACCCAGAAUGUUUUUGUAGGUACGAGGGUCUUGUCUCACUUUAGCCCAUCCAGAUUGUUUCUGUAGGUACGAGGGUCUUGUCUCACUUUAGCCCAUCCAGAUUGUUUCUGUAGGUAAAAGGGUCUUGUCUCACUUUAGCCCGCCCAGAAUGUUUCCAUAGGUAAGAGGGUCUUGUUUCACUUUUGGCCAUCCAGAAUGUUUCUGAAGGUAAAAGGGUCUUGUCUCACUUUAGCCCGCCCAGAAUGUUUCCAUAGGUAAGAGGGUCUUGUUUCACUUUUGGCCAUCCAGAAUGUUUCUGAAGGUAAGAGGGUCUUGUUUCACUUUUGGCCAUCCAGAAUGUUUCUGAAGGUAAAAGGGUCUUGUCUCACUUUAGCCCGCCCAGAAUGUUUCCAUAGGUAAGAGGGUCUUGUUUCACUUUUGGCCAUCCAGAAUGUUUCUGUAGGUACGAGAGUGUUGUCUCACUUUAGCCCAUCCAGAAUGUUUCUGUAGGUACGAGGGUCUUAUCUCACUUUAGCCCACCCAGAAUGUUUCUGUAGGUACGAGGGUCUUGUCUCACUUUAGCCCACCCAGAAUGUUUUGUAGGUACGAGGGUCUUGUUUCACUUUAGCCCACCCAGAAUGUUUUUGAAGGCAUGAGAGUCUUGUCUCACUUAGUAACAGAGGCAACUCGGGGACAGACCCAGGAUACACUGAAGAGAUGAAAUCUCU